GAUGAACGCUGGCGGCGUGCCUAAUACAUGCAAGUCGAGCGAACAGACGAGGAGCUUACUCCUCUGACGUUAGCGGCGGACGGGUGAGUAACACGUGGAUAACCUACCUAUAAGACUGGGAUAACUUCGGGAAACCGGAGCUAAUACCGGAUAACAUGUUGAACCGCAUGGUUCAACAGUGAAAGACGGUCUUGCUGUCACUUAUAGAUGGAUCCGCGUCGCAUUAGCUAGUUGGUAAGGUAACGGCUUACCAAGGCAACGAUGCGUAGCCGACCUGAGAGGGUGAUCGGCCACACUGGAACUGAGACACGGUCCAGACUCCUACGGGAGGCAGCAGUAGGGAAUCUUCCGCAAUGGGCGAAAGCCUGACGGAGCAACGCCGCGUGAGUGAAGAAGGUCUUCGGAUCGUAAAACUCUGUUAUUAGGGAAGAACAAAUGUGUAAGUAACUAUGUACGUCUUGACGGUACCUAAUCAGAAAGCCACGGCUAACUACGUG
rnacentral:rRNA from 1 species